AAUGAACGCUGGCGGCAGGCCUAAAACAUGCAAGUCGAACGCAGUAGCAAUACUGAGUGGCGCACGGGUGCGUAACACGUGGGAAUAUGCCUAUUGGUACGGAACAGCUCCGGGAAACUGGAAUUAAUACCGUAUGGUCCCUUCGGGGUAAAGAUUUAUCGCCAAUAGAUUAGCCCGCGGUGGAUUAGCUAGUUGGUAGGGUAAUGGCCUACCAAGGCGACGAUCCAUAGCUGGUCUGAGAGGACGAUCAGCCACACUGGGACUGAGACACGGCCCAGACUCCUACGGGAGGCAGCAACAGGGAAUCGUACGCAAUGGACGAAAGUCUGACGUCGCAAUGCCGCGUGGAGGAUGAAGGCCUUCGGGUCGUAAACUCCUUUUAUAUAGAAUGAGAGUUCUGUAAGAAUAAGUAACUGCUAACUCUGUGCCAGCCGCCGCCGUAA
rnacentral:rRNA from 1 species